rnacentral:rRNA from 1 species
AUGAACGCUGGCGGCGUGCUUAACACAUGCAAGUCGAGCGAGAAGUUUUGAAAAGAUUCUUCGGAUGAAAUUUAAAAUGGAAAGCGGCGGACGGGUGAGUAACGCGUAGGCAACCUGCCCCAUACAAAGGGAUAGCAUUUGGAAACGAAUAUUAAUACCUUAUGAAACUUAACUAGUGCAUGCUAGGUAGGUCAAAGAUUUAUCGGUAUGGGAUGGGCCUGCGUCUGAUUAGCUAGUUGGUGAGGUAACGGCUCACCAAGGCGACGAUCAGUAGCCGACCUGAGAGGGUGAACGGCCACAUUGGAACUGAGACACGGUCCAAACUCCUACGGGAGGCAGCAGUGGGGAAUAUUGCACAAUGGGGGAAACCCUGAUGCAGCAACGCCGCGUGAAAGAUGAAGGCCUUUGGGUCGUAAAGUUCUGUUCUAGGUGAUGAAAACUGACAGUAACCUAGGAGAAAGCCCCGGCUAACUCCGUG